AGUAGCGGCGAGCGAAGCGGGAAAAGCUCAAAUUUGUAAUCUGGCGUCUACGACGUCCGAGUUGUAAUCUCGAGAAGUGUUUUCCGUGAUAGACCGCAUACAAGUCUCUUGGAACAGAGCGUCAUAGUGGUGAGAACCCAGUACACGAUGCGGAUGCCUAUUACUUUGUGAUACACUUUCGAAGAGUCGAGUUGUUUGGGAAUGCAGCUCAAAUUGGGUGGUAAAUUCCAUCUAAAGCUAAAUAUUGGCGAGAGACCGAUAGCGAACAAGUACCGUGAGGGAAAGAUGAAAAGCACUUUGGAAAGAGAGUUAACAGUACGUGAAAUUGUUGGAAGGGAAACACAUGCAGCCAGACUUGCUAUUCGGGGCAACUCGAUUGGCAGGCCCGCAUCAGUUUUUCGGGGCGGAAAAGCAUAGAGAGAAGGUAGCAAUUUCGGUUGUGUUAUAGCUCUUUAUUGGAUUCGCCCUGGGGGACUGAG
rnacentral:rRNA from 1 species